UCCUUCCAUAGUCCUUAAUGCAUGGAUUCUGGCCAGUGAACCAUCUGAUUUUGGUCAAAAGGACGCUCGGAUCGACUCCCCUGUUUUGUUUGGUUUUUCCGUCCAUUUUCUUGGAUUUUCCGGCCGCAGUCAUCGCCGCCGAUCGCCAGCCGCCGCUCCCCCACCUGUGCCGCCUCGGCUUCCAUUCCCGGUCACCACCAUCACCGGGGAUAAGCUCCCCUAUUCCGAGAAUUAAGGGGGG
rnacentral:lncRNA from 1 species